rnacentral:rRNA from 1 species
GAUGAACGCUGGCGGCGUGCCUAAUACAUGCCAGUCGAGCGAACGGACGAGAAUCUUGCUUCUCUGAUGUUAGCGGCGGACGGGUGAGUAACACGUGGAUAACCUACCUAUACGACUGGGAUAACUUCGGGACACCGUAGCUCAUACCGGAUAAUCUUUUCAACCGCAUGGUUCAAAAGUGAAAGACGGUCUUGCUUUCACUUAUAGAUGGAUCCGCGCUGCAUUAGUUAGUUGGUAAGGUAACGGCUUACCAAGGCAACGAUGCAUAGCCUACCUGAGAGGAUGAUCGGCCACACUGGAACUGAGACACGGUCCAGACUCCUACGGGAGGCAGCAGUAGGGAAUCUUCCGCAAUGGGCGAAAGCCUGACGGAGCAACGCCGCGUGAGUGAUGAAGGUCUUCGGAUCGUAAAACUCUGUUAUUAGGGAAGAACAUAUGUGUAAGUAACUGUGCACAUCUUGACGGUACCUAAUCAGAAAGCCACGGCUAACUACGUG